rnacentral:sRNA from 1 species
CUGAUGCCACCUUUCCAUCUUUCUGUCUCUGCCCUGUCCCCUGACCGGCGUGGUGUGGAGCACUCAGCAGCAACGUGAAGUAAUUAGCACAGGACCUGUGUACGCCAGGGCGAGGCUGUGUGGUGGAAACCAGGCCUGCCUCGGUCUCGCAGUCAGACGUGCCUGCCAGAGCUGCUGCGGUUUCUGGGUCAGAACGUGCAUGCCCGGAAGAAUAAGAACGUCGACAUUCUCUGGCAAGCUGCUGAGAUCUGCCGCCGCCUUAAUGGGGUCCGGUUCACCAGCUGCAAGAGCGCUAAGGACCGUACAGCCAUGUCGGUGACACUGGAGCAGUGCCUGAUCCUGCAACACGAGCAUGGCAUGGCCCCGCAGGUCUUCACCCAGGCCCUGGAGUGCAUGCGCAGUGAGGGUUGUCGAAGAGAAAAUACAAUGAAGAAUGUUGGAAGUCGCAAAUAUGCAUUUAAUUCCCUGCAGCUGAAGGCUUUCCCCAAGCAUUACAGGC